CGUUGUCCGGAUUUAUUGGGCGUAAAGAGCUCGUAGGUGGCUCGGUAAGUCGGGUGUGAAAUUUCGAGGCUCAACCUCGAGACGCCACCUGAUACUGCUGUGGCUUGAGUCCGGUAGGGGAGCGUGGAAUUCCUGGUGUAGCGGUGAAAUGCGCAGAUAUCAGGAGGAACACCAGCGGCGAAGGCGGCGCUCUGGGCCGGUACUGACACUGAGGAGCGAAAGCGUGGGGAUCAAACAGGAUUAGAUACCCUGGUAGUCCACGCCGUAAACGUUGGGCACUAGGUGUGGGGUUCUAUCAACGGACUCCGUGCCGAAGCUAACGCAUNAAGUGCCCCNCCUGGGGAGUACGGCCGCAAGGCUAAAACUCAAAGGAAUUGACGGGGGNCCNCACAAGCCGNGGAGCAUGUGGCUUAAUU
rnacentral:rRNA from 1 species